UACUUCCCUUGGAAAGAUCAACAGAAAUUCCUGUAAUAAUAUCUGUUGCACAAUUUCGACCGGAGAAGGUGGGCAUAUUCCUAUCAAUCCUGUGAACAAAAGGUACAACCUUUUUAUGUGGCUCGUUUGAGCCUUUGUUGGUUAAAACCAAUUUGACAUUUUUUUCAUUCAAAUGCAGGCACACACUCUCUAACUACAGGCUUUUUCAGCUGCCAUUAAGAGAUUAGAUCCUACCUUGCCAAAAAAUGUUUAAUACCAUUUAGACUGCAAAAUUGGGUUAGAGGGAGCUAGCUCUAAACAACUAUUGACAAGUGUUUACGAAAUGGAAAGAGAAUUAUAGUAAAAACAGAGCAAAAGCUAAUGUUUCACUGAAGAAUCCAUAGAAAUUCUCUGCAAAAAACUGGGAUCUUGAUUGCCCUUGGUUAGCUAUGAUCCUAUUCCCAACAUGCUCAGCUCCUUACGUGGGAAAGGAUUUGUUGAAGUAUGCAGUAAUUGUGCACUACGUGCCAAGACUUCUGCGGAUCUACUUUUUAUUCAAAGAAGUAACAAGCACUUCUGGCAUAUUGACUGAGACAGCAUGGGCUGGAGCAGCUUACAAUCUUUUUCUCUACAUGCUAGCAAGUCAUGUGAGUUGAUUUUGUCACUUACGUUCAUAACACUUACCUAUGUUCCUAAUAAUCAUACUAUGUUUUAUGAGCAUCAACUACCAGGUGGUUGGAGCUUCUGGUAUCUGUUUUCAGUAGAAUCAAGGGUGAGGUGCUGGCGCAAGCAGCUGAAGAAUACUACUUUCUUUCAUGAAUCCUACCUUAGCUGUGAAUCUUACAAUUCUACUGUUCAAUCAUUUCUCAAUCACUCUUGCCCUAUCACUGAUCGACAAAACAUUGGAGACCUGGAAGCUUUCAAUUUUGGAAUGUUCAUAGAAGCUCUAAAGUCUCGAGUGGUAGAAUCAACUACUGAUUUUCAUCACAAGUUCUUCUACUGCUUUUGGUGGGGUUUGCGCAGUCUAAGGUAGGUCAAUAAUCUUUUCUACUGAUACUCUUGACUGCAUAUGCAACAUUCCCAUUUUAUAAACUUAGGAACUUAAUUUAAUCUACCUGUGUUCUUAAUUUUGUUCCCAACUUUUCUAUCUAAUUGCCUAUAGUUAGUGCAUGUUUAAUUUGAACCUCGGAUCAUAUCAAACAUAACUCAAGCUUAAAUCCGUGCAUCCAAAUCCAUGCAAGCUGAAAGCAUAGUACAACCUAAAGAUGGAGGCUAAAAGCAUGCAAAAGUCAUAUUUGUUUUGUGAUCUUUUGCAGUUCAGUUGGGCAAGGUCUCGAGACAAGUACUUAUGUAGGGGAGAUAAUCUUUGCUCUCUCCAUUGCUGUCUCUGGAUUGGUUCUAUUUGCAUCACUUAUUGGAAACAUGCAGGUAAUUCUAUGAGAUAAGAUAAUAGACAAGAGAAUAGAGUGAUCUUGUAUACAUUGGUGUAUUUACACCUCCCUAGUCAUGGAUACAGUGUAAUUCAUGAGUCUUUAUUUUUCAUUUUUUGCAAAUUAAAGGCCAAACAGACAAAGGGACAGAUUUUAAACCUUAUAGAGGAAACAAUUUUUUCAUGAAUUUUGAGUGUUAUAGAAGAGUUAGUUUCAUUCUCCCACCCUUGUCAUUUGUUGAAUUCAUGGAUUCGGUACUGUGUUGGUUAUUGUUGCAGAAAUAUCUACAAUCUCCCACUGUCAGAGUUGAAGAGAUGAGAAUCAAAAGGCAGAGAGAUUGUUGCGUGAAGCAGAAAAAAGGAUUCAAAAUUUGGAGAAAGAGGAAGGGUCCUCACCAAGCUUUGUAGCCACUGUAUAUACAUCAAGGUUUGCAUCAACUGCAUUGCGCCACCUGAGAAGUGGUAAACGCACCAGAGUGCCACAGGAAAAACUAGUUUCUUAAGAAAAUUUACAGCAAAACUUGUUGUGAUUUCACUUCUGUGCAUAUUCAACAUGCAUGUCCUUAGCAAUUUUGUCAGCAUAUGUAAGUAGCAAGUGGUGUUAAGGAUUUCUUAUAUGACAACAUUAUGUGCAUAAUCUUAUUCUAAUCAGUUUAUAUAUUCUAGUAUUUUCUUUGAUAAACUACCUUGUGUUUUGUCUCUGUUCAUGAUAAUAAUACAUUCACAUCUUAAGAUGAUUAUAUAUUAUAUGUUUUAGAAGUGCAUUAUGGUUGUUUUGAGAAAAUGAUUAUGUUAUAUGUUUUGUUAUGUUAACAUCUUGGUUAAAAUCAUGUUAAAUUUGAUUUUUUUUAAUAUUUUUUAUUAUAGUAUACUUUCCAUUACCUUUAUAUGUCUAAUUUAAUAAUAAUAAAUUAAUUUGAACUAAAAUGAGUAUUAUUGUUUUCAAAAUUAAAUUAAGUACUAUUUUGAAUAAAUGAAUUUGAAUCUUUAAUGGUCAAACUAGUUGCUAAGAAAAAUAUUUUAUAUUCCACAUCUUUUUUCCCUAAUUAAUAAAUUUAUUAUUUAUUUCAAUUCUAAAAUGAAAUACGAAAUAUUUAGUCAUAUUUACAUAAAUAAAUUAUGACAUUUCCUUAAAAUUAUUAUGCAAGUUAAUAAAGAUACGUUAUCUUAUACAAUUUCGUCAUUUAUGUUUACUAAUUAGUUAACACAUGCAUGGAUUUGAUUCCGAAAAAUCUUAUCCAAGUCUAAAUAAUUGAAAUUGAAUUAAAUUCAAAAUCGAAUUGAAAUUAAACCAAAUCCAUAUUUGUAAAAAAAAAAAAAAUUGGAUUUUAUAUAUUUAAAUCUAAUUAAUUGAAUUGUAUUACUAUUUUAAAUCCAUAUUUUUUAAAAUAAAGUUUGAAUACUUAUAGUUUGGUAUAUCCAAGUUUAAAAUUAGAUAUUCUUUUUCAACUUCAGUUUUUAUGAAAAUUUUUGUUGCCAUAUUUAAAUUAAAUUAUCAUAAUCUCCGUUUGCAUCUUUAGUCACUUAAUUUGAGUAUAAAAAUUGGUAAAUUGUCCAUAAAUUUAAGAUUAUGGUCAUUUGAAUAUAAUAUACUUUGCAUAUAUCACUUUAAAUAUACCUAUUUUUGCCCAUUAAAUAUUAAACCCAUUUUUCACAAUACAAACAACUAAUGAAACCUAAACACCACAUUAAAAGCUUUAGUUAUUUUUCAUUGUCUUCUUUAUCUUAGUGGUUGACAAUUGUGCAUGUGCUAUUUCAUUCAAUAUCUUGAGCACAAUAUUUUAGCUGUGUUACAAACAAUUCAAGAUCUACAUCAUCACUUGCUAUUUUAGAAAACCUUUGCUCGAAAAUUACAAAUAUAAAUUAAUUGAUAUAUCUUUUAAUUAUGUAACAAAGAAAAAUAAACAAAGAACCUAUGUAUAAAUACUUAUAAUAAGAUUUUAAGUAUCUGCACAUAAAUUUAUCAUUAUAUUACAAUAAAAAAAUUUAUUAUCUUCACCUAAAUCACAUACAUUCUUUUCUUAAUUGUGUACUUUGUUCACACUAUAAUCACUAAAAAAAUUAUAAAGAUCAUUCAAACUAUAAAAAAUAGAUAAAUAUCACAAAGAAAAACAUUAAAUAGAGAUACUUAUAUUGAGUUUCUGUGUUAUGUUUAAGUCUGGGGAAUGAGUUUAAGCACCUCACUCUGCACUUAAAACACUUAGAAAUUUUCUGAUAUCCCGAACUCCACUCCUUGUAGCUUAACCAACUCAAGAAACUUGAAACACCUAGAUUUCAAUCGUGUCCCAAACUCCACUCUUGCCUUAAGGAAUGUUCCAUAAAAAAACUAUAGAGAAAAAAAAGCACAUCUUGAUAGAGGCAAAUGCUCUCUACACCCAACACUUUUCAACCUGCACCCAACAUAAUUUAAAAAAUUUCGAAAAUACUCUUUAUUUCUGGAAAUGAAAAUCCGAAAUUGAAAAUAAUGCAUUCCAGAAAAAUAAAUCCGGAAGAGAUUUUUGUGUUUUGGAUAUAAAAAUCUGGAAAAAAAAUUAAAAUCUCAUUUCAGAUAAAAAAAUCCGGAACUGGAAAUAAUACAUUAUGAAAAAAAUUAUCUGGAAGAGAUUAUUGUGUUCUGGAAAAGGGGGUGGAAUGUAAUUUUAUAUGUACCCCAUUUUUUUAAGGGUAUUGUCGGUUUUUCCUGUGAUUGGGUGCAGUUAUAUGGUGCAGGAAGCAAUUGCCCUUGAUAGAUAUACGUCCUUAAUGUGCAAAGGACCGCUAUGUCUGUCCAAUUCACUCUUAAUGGGCUGGGUUGGGUUGAAAUCCUUCACUUAAUUCAACUUGGCUGCUUCUUUCUGCACCUCCAUACCUUCUUGUGUCACCCCAUAUGUUUUCUAUAUUCCAAAAAUAUCCUUUUUAAUAUUCUGGAUUACAUAAUCUGGAAGUCUUUUUCUAUAUUUAGAAUUAGCUUCCGGAUUAUGUAAUCUAGAAGCCUUUUGUGAUUAGUUUCUGGAUUACAUAAUCCGAAAGUCUUUUCUAUACAUAAGAUUAGCUUCCGGAUUAUGUAAUCUGGAAGGCUUUUUUUUUUCAGAUGUAUGAUUAGCUUCUAGAUUACAUAAUUUGGAAGUCUUUUCUAAAUAUGAGAUUGACUUCCGGAUUAUGUAAUCCGGAUAUUCUGGAUUACACAAUCCGUAAGCUUAUUUCAAAUGCAAAAAAGAGUUCCAGAUUUUAUAAAUCUCAAGAACACUUCCGAAUCCAAAAACAAUUUCUGGAUUAUGUAUGGAGGUGGCACAAAAAAGGAGAAAAUGGUAUUUUUACAUUUAGUAUUGGGGUGGCAGAAUAAGAUAUGGAGGUGUAGGAAGAAAGAGUCAUUCAACUUCCAUGAAUUCGAAACAAAAAACUGUGCCUAAGCUCUAUUGAAAAGGGUGAAUUUUUGUAUUAGAACUUUUUUGUGUGACUUGCGGUUAUCCACUUACAUUACAUCAUUUUGUAAUAUUCCUUUUAGUAUUUCAUAAUUCAAUUUUUUACAUGCAAAAAAUGUGUUAAAACUGAAAAAUCAUGAAACCUUAAUUACCACCAUAUUAAGCACUUAAAAUAUAAUUAUUGAAUAAAAAAUUGAAAUAUAUUUAGGGAACUGAAAAAUAGUUAAUGUUAUGUCUGGUGAUUGAUAAAAAUAUAUUAAAUCACAAUGUAUGCUCUUAAUUGAGAUCACAACUAAAAUUCACCAAAAAUCAACAAUAUUUGAAGGAAUAUAUGAAGGAUUAAUUUGAUUAUUGGUUAGAAAAAUGUUAAAUAAAACUAUUUAUAAUAUUUUAGUAAACAAGUUUACAUCCUAAAAAAAUUAAAGAUAAAUUUUAAAUAAAAUAACAAAUAAUUUAAAAAAAUAUAUUUGUAUUUCUAUAUAAGAUCUUCUACGUUCGUUUCAUGUCUAUAUAUAUGGACUAGGUAUUCAAGUUUUAACCAAAAUUUAUCUCAACAUAAUUUGCCAAAAGUGGAGUGGAAGUCACGUUUUCAUAAUUGCUGCUGUAACUACAGAAUAAACUUCUGUUUCUCUUAAUCUCUAUUCUUGUCUAAUUUUUCUUUCCUUGUUACAGUUUAAUAUGGAUAAAUUGUUUUCCUAAAUAUAACUAAGAGACUUCAUAGUCUGUUUCCAAUAGAGUUGUUCUACAUACAGAAGAUUAUCACAACCACAAAAUCUUAGCCAAUGAAAGUUCACAUAGAAAUAACAUUUAUUAUUAAGACCUCAUGUGUGUAGUGUCCAUUAUUCUUAUUAUUUUAAUUUAACAAUGUAAUACAUUGUAUUAUUAAUAAUAAAAAUAUAUCACUAAACAAAAUAUUGAAUUAUCUGCUAACAAAUUGUGAAGGCUAUACAGUAAAUAGUGAGGGUCAAGCUUUUCAUAAAUUGAAGAGUAAAACUCACGUUAGAUAUUUAAAAAAUAUAAACAAGUAUGCACAUGAAAUAAAAAUAAUAAUAAAAUAUUGAAAUUGUAAAGGUUUAUCUCACUAACAUAAGCGUGGGAAUAAUAAACGUAAAGUACACACUACAUUUUUUUUUUUUAAAUAAUAGUGGCAACUUCUUCCUGCACCUCUACAAAUUUCUUCCUGUACUCCCUUACUGUCAGAAAAGACUUUUUUCCCCUUUAAAAAAUGACUUUCGGAUUUCCUUUUCGAAAUAUUCACAUCUUUUUCGGAACUUAUUUUAUGAAUUCUGGAUUUAUAAAUAAAUAAAAAACUGUGUUCUGGAAAAGAUAUUCCAGAAUGAUUUUUUGUCUUCCAGAUUUUAUAUUUCAGAAAUAUCUUUGAUUUACGAAACUACAAUGGUAGAAACAUCUAAAACUGCAAAGGGUAAUUUUGGUAUUUUAUAAAAAUAUAGGGAUGCAGGAAGAAAAGUGUAAAGGUGCAGGAAGAAACAUCCAAUAAUAAAAUAUUAAGAUUGUGAAAGUUUAGCUCACACUAACAUUUAAAAAAACAAUAAAAUGUCAAAACAUGUGUAAUCCUGAUAACUGUAAAGACACUUAAUUUAAAAAAAAUUAAUAAAUAUGUAUGUUAAAUAUAAAUAAUAAUAAAAUAUUAAAAUUGUGAAGGUAUGGUGCAUACUAAAUGUUAAAUGUAUUUUUAAAUUACAUUUAAAUUCAUAAUAAGUUUAUAAAGUUUGUAAAUAUAAAAUGAGGAUAAAAAAAUAUAUAAAUUUGAAUUUUUUUUAUUGGUGGGAUAUUUUGUGAGACUACUGUGUUUUUGAAAAAUAAUAAUUUUUAAAUUUUAAUUAAAUUUUAUUUUUUAUUAUUAUUUAUAUUUUUUUUUAUUGGUGGUGUGCCAUAUAAAAUAGUAUAAUUAGAAAUAUUUUAUUAUAUAUAUUUGAAUUAUGUUAAAUUAGUUAUUGAAGAAGAAUUUCACAUAAAGUUAAAAGGUAAUAUAACUAAUAAUAUUUUUGCAUGAAUAAUAUGAUAAAAUUAAAAAUAUUUAUGAAAUUUAAUUAUCUUAAAAAAAAUUUAAUUAUUUAUUUAAUUUGAUUCUUAUGGUAAUAAUAAAAGAUAUAACCUUUUUAUACUACAUUACAAUAAAAAAAAUGUGAAAAAUGCUACUAAAUUUAGUAGUUAAAAUUUUGGUAGUUAAUUAGAUAUCAAUUUAAAAAUUAUUUAACAAUAAUAAAAAUUAAUUUAGAAACCAAUUUUUGUUUAGUUUCUAUGGUUUCUAAUUUAGUCAUUAUAGCAACUAAUUAUUUUUGUGUGUCUAAAAUUAGUUUUUACUCAAUGAUUUUCUUGUAGUGUAUAACUAAUUUUAAAAAAUUAAAUAUUAUCUGUAAUCAUGCAUGUACUUAGUUAAUAACGAAGAUUUCCUAUUAAAGUGGAAUUGUUUUAAUCAUAAUAAACAUAAAAAAUUUACGAUAACAUAUACGAUUAUGAUACUAUAACAAAUUAUUGUAUUAUUAUUAUAUCUAAAUAUACCUGUAAAUAUAUAAUACUAUAUAAUUUAAAUUUGUAGUGCUAAAACUGUCAGUUUCUAGUUUGCCAAUAUUUUCGUUGCCUCCAACCGCACUUUCUAAUUUCCUAAUAUUUUUCAAUUUCUCAAUCUCAAAUCCCUUUCAGCUAAAAGUUUCGUGGCUAAAGCUCAGUUCCGGUAUUGCAUUUAUAAGAGAAUAAUAAAAAAAAAAUUAUAAUUUUUUAUUCUUUUAUGUGUAUCACGUAUAGAAAAUAUAUAGACAAUUGUUUUUCUCUUCAAAUUAUAAUCUAAUUAGGUAGAAUACUAAUGAGAUUAUAUCAUUAUUAAAUUAAUUACAUAUAAUUAGAUAUAAUAUUGUAUAAUAUUAUAUACAAUAAUUAUAUAUAAUUUAAUAAUUAUUAUUUUCUUAAUAGUAUUUUUAUUUUUUAUUUUUUAUUUUGUCUUGCUUCAUGUUUUCACUAUAAUAUCUGGAUUAUUUGGAUUUUGAAGGUGCAGCUCUAAUAUUUUCUUUCACAGUUUGACGUUUUGUUUCACAGUUUGAGGUAAAACUUUUUUUUGAAUUUUAUGGAAACUUUCGCUUAUGAUCAUUGUUUUCACUUGUGAUGUGAUACACCACAAAGUAGAUGGCACAGUUCUAUUUUUCUGCUGCGGCAGGGUCAUGUUUUGGUUCUGGACUUGUAAGGUAGAGAGGUUUCUUUUUUUAUAUAAUAUCUAUUAGGUUGAACACAUUUUUAGUAGAUAUAUAUACUUAUAACAUGUUACGGAUUCAACAUGUUCGUCAAAUCGUUUAAUAUAAAUAAAAUUGUAGACACUUCGAUUGUUUAUUAUAUGGUGUAACUUUCAUUAAUCAGUGUUAAAUAAUUUAAAUCACAUAUAAAACAUAUAAUUCAAAUCACAAAUAUAGAAGUUAACAAUUCAGUUAGAUUUUGUUAUCAUAAAAACAUAAACUUCACAUAUAAUUUUCUAGUGUAUCAACAGACCGUCUAAGCAUAUUGUAGAGUCUUAAAAAUCAAUAGAAUUUUUUUUAGUUAUUAGUUCCUUUUUAAUUUUCAAAGUUGUAUACAUUUAUAAAUUUCACUACAAGAAAAUCAUUAAAUAGAGACCAAUUUUAGAGAUAAAAAUAAUUAGUUACUAUAUUGACUAAAUUAGAUAUCAUUUUAGAGACUAAAAAAAUUAUUGAAUUCUAAAUUAGUUUUUAUUAUUGAUUAAUAGUUUCUAAAUUGGUAUAUAAUUAACUACCAAGAUUUUUGCUACAAAAUUUAUAAUCUAAAUAAUUGAUAGCUAAAUCACAUCAAUUACUAGUUGUUGUGUGUAUUAGAUAAACAUGAACCUUUAUGGUGUGUUUGAAUCAAGAAAAAGAUUUGAAUGAGUUUAUUAAGAGUGAUUUGAGAGAAAAAUGAGAAAAAAGUAAGAUUGUUUGUAUUAAGAUACGUAGAAUGAAUUUAUAAGACAAAUUUAUUGAUGUUUACAAGUGAUUACUUUGAGAGAAUUUUUAAAAUGUAAAUUUAUAACUUUACCAUUAUCUUAAAAAAUAUUUAAUUAAUAAAAUAUGAGAUUUUUUUUUUUAAAUUUUGAGUUAUUUUUUAAAAUAAUUGUUAGAACAUAAAAAAAUUUCAUGUUAAAUGGAUAAAGAGAGGAGCAGUCAUCUCUGUAAAUCUAUGUAAUUAUGGCCUUUGUUCACUUGAAAAAUGAUGUAAAAGGCCUUUACAAAAAGACCCUACAAGAGAAAUGCCAAAAACCACAAGAGAAAGAAUCUGUAUGUAAUCCAUCAGAAUCAAAUUAUUCCCAUAUUCAUUCCAUAUUCCAUGUAGUAAUUAUGGUUUUCCCAUAAAGUUGUUCAUUCUAUUUUCUAAUAGAUUGGUGAUUUUUAUUAUUAUUAUAAAACAUUUUUAUAACAUAAAAUUUAUUUAAUAUUUUAUUUUUUAAAUAUUAUAGUAUUGAUUUUUUUAGAUGGAUUGUUUUAGAAAAUUCAAGGAUAAUUAGGAUAAUCUAUCUAAAGAAAUCCUUGGACACUUAUGAAGAUGAAUAAAACAUUGCAUUGGGUCCCUUACAGUUCCAGUAAGACAAGGAAAUUCUCCAUCAUUUCUUUAUUCUUUUAUGUUUUGUUUGUUUCUUUCCAUUUAAGAAAGAUUUGCGGGAGAAUUUGUGUUUGUUUCAACAAAUUGAAAGAGAUUUACAAGUGAAGAAAUGUGGGAAUUGAUUGAAAUGUAUUUUGCAUAUAAGCAAAGAAACUUCACAGAAUAAAGGAGAAAAACAUGUAACAUUUAUUUUUUCUACUUUGUCCAUUCAUUUUUUAAUUUUUAAAACAUAACCAAAUUUAAAAAAUAAAAAGAUAAAUAAAUUUACACAAUUUUCAAUUCAGAAAAUAAAUUUAUGAAUAUAAAAUUAUAAAUAUUUUAUUAUAUGUAUUUAUAAUAAAAAUAAAUAUUUUUUACACCAAAUAUUUUAAUUAACUCAAAUUUACACAAAAAUAUUUUAUAUUUUAUUAUUUAAAUAUUUUUAAAUAUAAAGAUAAAUUUAAUAAUAUAAAUAUAUUUAUAUAGUAAUAAUAAAAGAAAAUAAAUUAGUAAUAUAUUUAAAAUUUAAAUUAAGAAUAAUAUAUAUAAAAAAGUAAUAAAAUUAUGAAUAAUACUAGUAACUAAAAUAAUUUUUUAAAAUGAUAAUAAUAAUAAAUUAUAAAAAAUAAUAAUAAAAAUAAAUUUCAUAUUUAAUAAUAAUUAAAAUAAAUUUAUUAAAUAAUAAUAUUAACAGUAAUAAAAAUUAAUUUUAAUUUUUAUUUGAUUUGAUUUUAUGAAAAUAUUUUUUAUAUAUAUUUAUAAAAUUUUAAUUAACUAAAAUUUAUAAAAAAUAUCUCAAAUUUUAUUAUUUAAAUAUUUUUUAAAUAAAAAGUAAAUUUGUAAACUUAUAUUUUACAUAUUUAAAAAAAAUAAAAAUCUCUUUACAACCAUCAUAUCAUUCACAAACUUCAAUAAACUUUUCUCACAAAUCUAUCAUAUUAUAUCCUAAUCCAAACAAUUUCACUUUCUUUACAUUAAGUCGGGUCGCCUAGAAUCACCUGUCCAAUGAAAAAUGAAAAUGUUCCAUUCUUUUCUAAUCCGUCACGUGAUUGUUUGUUUCGGACAAGAAAAAAGACAAAGAAAGUCCCACAAAUAUUUGAAUUCUAAACUUUCUUUAAUUCCUAGUUCAUUAUUUAUUGAAGAAAUCCUAUUUUCAAAAUAUUAUUCCCGAUAAUCUUUAAACCUUAUUUUUUCUAAUAAAAAUAUUAUAUUAUAAUAAAAUAAUGUUUUUUUUAAUUUCUUUGAUGGUUUUCGUAGUUUUGUAUUUGAAAAAUGUUUUUUUACAUUUAAAAAAAUAACAUUCAUUUAACAAUCCAUUUUAAAAUAUAAUAAUGUAUAUUAGAAUUUUAAAUUAAAAAAGAAAACAAAUAUUAUUAAAAUAUUAUUAUUUUAGAGUGUAAAGUGAAUUUUUAUUUUAAAGACGGUGAUAUACUAACACUCUUAAUAGUUAAAUUAUAUACACUUCAUUACUUAAUAAAUUAAUAUUUUAUUUUUUAAUUUAAAAGUAUUAUUAUACUAUUAUAAACAAAUAGCGUGAAUCUAAAAUGUAUGUUUGUGCAACCAGCUUUUCUCUAUUCAUUCUUUAUGGAACACACUUUAUUUAAAGUUGUAUGAAGACGUUCAAAAUUAGUGAGCUAAGCCACACUUAACACCUCCUGCACAGACAUAUUACUCUAUAAAUAUCUAACCAUAUAUUACCAUCCCUGAAGAAACAUUUGAGAAGUGUAGAUAUGUGUGGGAGGGACAAAAAGAGGGUUUGUUCUUGUUCUUGUUCAUGUUCAGAGAAGAAGAACAAAAGGAUUAAGCAUGGAAAAAGGCCUCUUCCUGAUCUCAAUUACCCUCCUCCUCCUGAUGACCACCACCAACAUUCAUCAUCUUCUUCUUCUCCCCCUCCUCCUCCCAAUUACGAUAAGGUUCCACACUUCUCUCUAUAAUGUUUUCAUCUUACUUAGAUUCCACUACUCAUUACUUUCAGCUUCAGCUUCUGGGGACUGCUCGUCAACACAGUCCUGCUGCUGCUGCUGCCUCUAGGAAGCGUAAAAUGGAAGAGAGUGAGAGUGAGAGUAGCUCCCACUGGAUGAAAGCAUGCUGGAACAAGGUCAUGAAUUAUAUCAUAUCCAAUCCCAACAACCCCAACAAGAAGAAGAAGAAGGAUGAUCCAGCACAACAAGAAGAAGGAUGACCCACUACAAUAACUCCAAGUCUGUCUCUAUAACCCUUUCACUGUUCAUGUUGUUGCUACAGUACGUGAAGAGUGAGAGUGGUCGUUUCGUUGGUGUUGUGUGUGAUGUUGCAGUACGGCAAGUUCUGUGUGUUUAUAAUAAAUUCAGUAUUUUUAUAUACUCUCCUUAUAUAACUUUUGUUCCAAGUUUGUUUCACUUUGUUAUUGGGAAAUAUGUAAAAAUAAGUAAAUUGUAAUAUAUUAUUUCUCCAUUUGAAUUCUAUUGUCUUUAUCUUUGGUCUAUUUUCUUUUUUUUUUCUUGGGAGUUACUUUCUGCUUCCCAUAAUUUAAAACCAAACUCAUAUAUAAUUUGAAAAUUCAUUUUUAUUAUUUUAAAAUUCUGAGGUCAUCCUUACCAACCUAAAAGCAUAUAGUUUGACACAGUAGAUUAUGUCAACUCGGCCACAUAUAGUUUGAUAAAGUAGAUUCUGUCAACUCGAGGCACAUAUGGCUAUAAAUAGAGAUUCUGCAAAGGUCUAAACAUAUUGUGAUCCCUAAAGGGUCAUUUGGGUAGAAAUGUGUGGGAGCUGCAAAAAGAGGGGUUGUUCUUGUUCUUGUGCAGAGAACAAGAACAAAAGAGUGAAGCAUGGAGAAAGGCAUCUUCCUGACCUGAAUUGUCCGCCUCCUCCUUCUGAUGACCACCACCAACAUUUAUCAUCAUCAUCGUUUUCUUCUCCUCCUCCCAAUUACGGUAAGGUUCCACGUUUCUCUCUAUAAAUAUAUGCCAUCUUUUUCAAUUACUUACUUAGAUUCUCCUCAUUACUAAGUUAAACUAAUUUAAUUAUAUCAGCUUCAGCCUCCAGCUUCAGCUUCUCUGGGGGCUGCUCGUCCUGCUGCUGCGGCCUCUGGGAAGCCUACGAUGGGAGAGAGUAGCUGACACUGGAACAAGAAGAAGGAUGACCCAGCACAAUAACUUCAAGCCUGUUUCAUUAUACAUGUUGUUUCAGUGAUCGUUUCUUUUGUUUCUUUUGCUUUUGUUUCUUUCGAUGGUGUUCCUUCCGGCCAAAUUCUGUGUGUUAUAAUAAAUUGAGUAUUUUUAUAUUGUAACUUGGGUUAAAAGUUUGUUCACUUUGUUAUGGGGAAAUGUAUCUUUUUCUUAUUCACUCUAUCAAUCUAACAAGAGGGUAAAUCUUGUUCAUGUUCAGAUCAAUUUAUUGAAGCAUGGAAAAGGGUCUCUUCUUGAUCAUAAAACAAAAAUGACGGAAGCGGUAUUCAACAUAUAAUGAUUCUGUCUUUCCCGACAUAGGCAAAAGUAUUUAAGAUUAAAAAAUGGUAAUGUGUCAGAACUUACCCCUUGUCCCUGCAGAAACAGAAAGUCCUAAAAUAGCGUAUCACCCUUUAAAAAUUUAGUGAGAAAAAUGAAAAGGAUAACUUAACAAAUGGAUUAAAGGUUAUUUUUUCUCACUAUUAUACAUAGAAUUACAUAAAAUAUUCUUAUCUUAUUAGUGUAUUUUUAUCUAUAGAUAGAUUUUUAUAACUCACUAUUUAUCAUUGACGAAAUAAAAGAAAAUAUAAAUAUAUAUAAAUCACAUCAAUUAUUGUUUGUCUAUUCCAAGUUGGGAAGGGAACCGUCUUUACCAAACCAUGCCCAUUAUGACAAUGACUAGGAUGGUAGUUUCAGUGAUCGUUUCGUUUUUUUCGUUUCGUUUGUUUGUUGGUGUUCUGUGAUGUUGCAGUAGGGCAACUUUUGUGUGUUAUAAUAAAUUCAGUAUUUUUUAUAUUUUUUAAUUUUUUUUAAAUAUUUUUUUAUCAGCACAGUAUUUUUAUAUAGAAUAAUGUUUUUUUUAUAUACUCUCUUUUAUAAAUUUUGUAAAUAGCAUUAAAAUAAUGAAUAAGGAAAGUGGAAGGUCCUAAUUUCUAAAAUAUGGUGUGGACUUUGGGCAAAGGCAGAUCCACCAGAAAUUGCAGUCUUGGUGGUGGAGAGGAAGGCGAAGAAGUAGAGUGGGUCCAAAAAACUCUGUGUUGGAAGGUUGGAUCGGGAAAUAAAACAAGAUUUUGGAAGGACACAUGGACUGGAAGGAAUAAUUUCUUAUCCUAGAUUGUUCUCUCUGUCUUUGGAUCACGGUUUGACGGUGGGUGAGAUAGGAAGUUGGAAAGAAUCAGUGUGGGGCUGGAGAUUAAGGUGGAGGAGAAAAAGAUUUGAAUGGGAAACUACACAAGAACUUGAAUUGUUUAGGAGCAUAUCCUUGAGUUCUCUUAAUAGGAAGGAACAGGAUGUCCUUGUAUGGGGUGGGAAUCCUAAUGGUGAGUUCACGGUAAAGUCUGCGUACAAAAACCAUGCGCCAAUCUGGCCUGAGGCUUCUUCAAACAGUUGUGGCAGGUCAAAGCUCUCCCCAAUCCCAUGGAAGAUUUUUUUAGAAGAGGAGUGUUAGGUGGACCCUCGGGAUGUGCAUUAUGCCAAGGUUCAGUAGAAACCUCUCACCAUCUUUUUUUGGAAUGCAUCCUAUCACAACAGGUUGUUUGUCCCACAUAAGGACUUGGAGGUUUACUUUGAAAUGCACUUGAGCACAAAGCAAAAUCUAGCGUGGAAAGGUUUGUGGGUGACAGCUGUGAGAGGAAUAUGGGAACAAAGAAACCUAGGCAUAUUUGGUAUCAUGCAGGUAUACCUUGGCUUGGUUGUGCUGGUAGUUACUCCUCCGAUUCUGGUAGGUACCCCUUAGCUUAGUGAGCUUUGGUUGUGCAUGUUCCGUUGGUCCUAGUAAGUGUGAUCAACAAUCGUGGCUACCACAUGGAGUUGCUUGCAAUGUUGCUGCUUUGCUGAGAAAUCUUUUGGAGCUAGUUUAUCCCUUAAUGCAGGUCAUCAUGGCAAGUGAUUUUGCAAUAGCUCAAUUUUGGUUUCUGGAGAGCUCGGUGUUGGUACAUGAACUUUGGAGGCAUAUGCCUCUUUCUCUGCUCAAGCUGCUCACAAUGAUUGGUAGAUGCGUGGUGGUAUGUAGUGAUGCGGGAAGCAAAUGCAGCAGGUUCGGGCAUCAUUUUGUCAUUACAAUUGUUGGUUAUGCUGUGCUGGUCCUAAAUCGCUGCAAUGGGAAGAGAGGAGGUUGUAUACACCUAGCUCUUAGCUUGAUAUUUUUCCAGCAGCUACCUUGUCAUCAGGUUUAUGUUUUUGCUGGUUUUAUGCAGAACCAGUUUUUGGGACUGGGUAUCUUUAACUAGUUUUAAGUUUUUUUUGAGUUAAGUGGUAUAUGCUUAACUAAAAGUGUUUUGUGUUUUAGUAUAAGGGUUAGACACCCUAAAUAUUUCUUUUAAUUUUUAUUAAUUUAUUGUUGAUAAAAAAAAUGAAAUUAUUUAAUGUCUUCAAAUUUUAAAUAUUCGUUAUUUUCUUUUAUUUUAUUUAAUAAGUUGUAAUUGAUAUAAAAAAAUUAUAUUUAUGAAUCCCAGACAGUGCAUUCUCUUUCUCCUUUUUAGCUCCAAUGCUGGAAUGUAACAAAUAGCAAAAGAAAACUCAUCAAAUAAUUGUUGUAUCAUAUCAAAUAAAGCUGCCUUACUUAAAACUAGAACCACAGAAAAAAGUGCAUAAAUGAUAUCACUCUUGUUGUGACAAGAUGGAGUUGAUAAAAUCCUUCUUUUCAGUCUAGGUCUACCUCUAAAUAUUUAAAUAAUUAAUUAUAAUUUUCUCUAAAAUAUUUAAAUAAUUAAUUAUGAUUUUUUUGUGUGUAGAUUUGAAUUAAUUAAAUUUUUUAAUAUAUAAUAUUUAUAAUUAUUUAUAUUUUAUAAUCAAAAUUAAAAAAUAUAAUAGAAAAUAUUUUUGUGUUAAAUUGAAAUAAAAUUAUUAAAUAUAUUAAAAUUUAUGAAAAUAAUAUUUAAUUUUGAUAUUGUAAUAAAGUACAUUUUUCUACCAUUUUUUAUAGUAUUAAUAUAUAAAUACAAUUUCUGAUUUGUUUUUCAUGCAAUGUGAAGUAUUAGUUGGUAAUUUAUUCUUACAUUAAUUUAUUUAUUACUUUUUUAUAUAUAUAAUAUCUAAUAUCUCAUAGGUUGAAUGCACUUUUAGUAGAUUUAUCGGGACUCAAAACCAAGUCUUUCCAGUGACCAAGGAAGCAUUGACCACUAGACCAGACAAGUUUUUUGGUCAUAUUAUCAUUUUUAUUAUACUUAUACAUAUUAAUAUAAUUUAUACAUAUUAAUAUAAUAUAAUUUAUACAUAUUAAUAUAAUAUAAUUUAUACAUAUUAAUAUAAUAUAAUUUAUACAUAUUAAUAUAAUUUAUUAAUAUUAAUAUAACUUUAAUACUAUAAAUACAUAUAUAUUGAUUAAUAUAUUUUUUUAUUUAAUCAUUUAUUUUUUAAAACUCAUGGUUAAAUUUAAAUUUACUUUCAUAUUAUAUAUAUAUAUAUAUAUUAAUAUAAAAUUAUUUGAUAUCUUAUUUUCAAAUAUAGGUUAUUAUAGGUAGUUGUGAAGUUUUUGUUAGAUGGCUAUAUAGGUGCUUGUAUCUUACACUUCUUUUCUUAUUUGAGAUUCUUGUAUAAGGAUUGAAAUAUCCUUAAAAUGUUUCCUUUAAUUUUUUUUAUACUUUGUGAUAAAAAAAAUCUUAUUUUCAAAUAUUUACUUACAUAGAUUAAAAUUGNNNNNNNNNNNNNNNNNNNNNNNNNNNNNNNNNNNNNNNNNNNNNNNNNNNNNNNNNNNNNNNNNNNNNNNNNNNNNNNNNNNNNNNNNNNNNNNNNNNNUAAAUUAUUUAAUCACUUUGUCAUUAUGAUUUAUAUAUUAGUAGAGAAAGUUAUUUAGUAACAACUUUUUACAUAGAUUUAUGGAAUAAUUAAUAUAAUUUAAACUAUAAUAUAUGCUAACUAGUAAUUUGUAUUAGAGAUUUAAUUAAUAGUUAAUGUAAAAGUCAUCAUUCUAUGUUAAAAGAUAAUAUUGUUUGUUGACAAUAUUCUUUACUAUAACACACAAGUAAAACCAACUACCUAUAAUGAACUUAAUUAAGUCAAUAUGAUCGUAAAAUAAUAAUUAAUAUGAUAGUUGAUUUUAAUGUAAUAGGUAAUAUGAUAACUAUGAGUAUGACAUAUAUUAAAUGUGAUUCAUACUAAUAGAUAAUAUAAUAAAUUAUGUUUAGUUUCAAGUAGAUUAUAGAUAAAUUAAAUGUGAUUCAUAUGUUAAUAUUGUUAGUAUUAUUAUUAUUGUUAGUAUUGUUAAUAUUGUUAGUAUUGUUAAUAUUGUUAGUAUUGUUAAUAUUAUUAAUAUUGUUAAUAUUAUUAAUAAUAAUAAGUAUAAUAAAAAUCAUAAUAAAACUAAAGAAUUUGCUUAGUGUAGUUGUUAAAUUUUCUUUGGUUGCUGAAGGAACCCGGCUUCGAAUAAUUUUAUUUUAUGGUGCCAAUAUUUAAUUUCCGUUCCAUGGCGCCAAAAAUUACAUACGGAUUUGUAAUACGUUUACAUACAAAAUUUAAUCCGUAUGUAAUGUUGAUUUUACAUACGGAUUUUGAUCGUAUAUAAUUCGCGUGUACAUAAUAUGAUUGGAGUAUCAUACUCAACCUGUUGGUAAUGUUGUUUGUCUUUAUGUACAUGUAGGUUUGAUGAUAAGCAACAUUUCAAAUUACUUAGAAUAUCAAGUAAGAUUUUAUCAUGUUUCUAAAAAUUUUAAAAAUUGACACCAACAAAAAAUUUAGUGAAAAAAAUGAAAAGGAUAACUUAACAAAUAGAUUAGAGAUUUUUUGGAUCAUUAGUGUGCAUAAUUAUUUGUGUAUUUUUAUCAUAGAUAGAAUUUUAAAAUUUAAAAUAACCCAUUAACUAUGUUCGGUAACAAAAUUUGUCACUAGUAUUGUUUAUAGUAAAAUAAAAAACUAAAAAGUCUUUUUUGUGAACUUUUUACAAUCCGUCUGUUCGUGUUUCUGACAUGUUUCCGUCACAGACAUUCACGUGUUGCCGAGAGAUCUACCACUUACACUUUUCUUUCUGAGUAUUCAUUCACAUUGAUACCUAUAAAUUCAAUUCAGUUCUAAAAGUAUUAGCAUCCCUAAUCUGAGAAGUGUGGAAAUGUGUGGGAGCGGCAAAAAGAGGGUUUGUUGUUGUUCUUGUUCAUGUUCAGAGAAGAAGAAGAAAAGGGUGAAGCAUGGAAAAAGGCCUCUUCCUGAUCUCAAUCACCCUCCUCCUCCUGAAUCAUCAUCUUCUUCUUCUCCUCCUCUUCCUCAUAAUUACGAUCAGGUUCGACACUUUUCUCUAUAAAUAUAUGCCGUGUUUUCAUUUUCAAUUACUUACUUAGAUUCUCCUCAUUACUUAUAAGUUACUAAGUGAAACUAUAACUUCAUUAUAUCAGUUUCAGGUUCUGGGAGCUACUCGUCCACACAGUCCUGCUGCUGCCUCUAGGAAGCGUAAAAUGAAAAUGGAAGAGGGAGAGAGUAGCUCCCACGGGAUGAAAGCAUGCUGGAACAAGGUCAAGAAUUAUGUCAUAUCCAAUCUUAACUCCGGCAAGAGGAAGAAGAAGGAUGAGUCAGCACAAGACCAAGAAGAAUGAGCCUGUCUCUAAAACUCUUUCAUUAUACAUGUUGUUUCAGUGAUUGUUUCAGUUUCAGUUUCAGUGAUUUCGUUGUUGUUGUCUGAUGUUGCAGUAGGCUAAGUUCAGUGUGUUAUAAUAAAUUGAGUAUUUUUAUAUACUCUCCUUUUAUGAAUUUUGUUACGAGUUUGAUCACUUUCUUAUGGGGGAAUAUAUUAAAUAAAAAUAAAUAUGCUUUAACAAUUCUUAGAAUUUAUAUAAUUUUUUAUGUGAUGAAUUUAAAAAUAAAUAUAUAUAUAUAUAAUAAAAGGUAGAUUUGUAAUAAUUAAAUGAUAUGAAAAAAAUAUUUUAAUUGAUGUACUUUUAUUAUAUAUUUAGAUUGUAACCUUUAAGACUAAAAACCUAACCUUAAAUGUAAAUUAUAUAGAAAACAAAUGUAACCUUUAAAACUAAAGUGAAACCUAAUGUAUAUUAUAUAGAAAACAUUUAAGGUCAUCCUUACCAACCAACCUAAAAGCGAAAGCUUCUAAAGUAAAUAUAUUUAUUUUAUUUUCGUAUUCAUCUAAAUCAGUAAUUAGGUAUAUGUAAUUAGACUGUAAAAUUUCAAUUAUUGUGAAAAUCCACACCUUUUAAAUAUGAUUCACAAAAGUAAAUUAACUUAAGUAUAUGAAUUAAUGCAUACAACAACAAAAUAAAUAAAUUAACUUAGGAAAUAAAAUGAAUGAAUAUUCAUAAUAGGAUUUUAAUAAAGUCCUUCAUGUCUUUAAUACUUUAAAUCACCAACUUUUAUUAGUUUUUGCCUUACCUGGUUGCAAGACAAAUACCCAUCAUUUCUUAAAUUCAACAAAAUUAAUUAGGAUAAUCUAUCUAAAGAAAUCUUUGGACACAUAAUGUAUAUUAGAAUUUUUAAUUAAAAAACAAAACAAAUAUUAUUAAAACAUUUUUAUUUAAGAGUGUAAAGUGAGUGUCUUUUAUUUUGAGGGUGUUAAAAUAAAAUAAAAAUGGCAAAAGUUGUUUGACAAAAAAUUACUCAGAAUGUCAAAUAAGAUUUUAUCAUGUUUUAAAAAAUUUAAAAGUUGACACCAACAAAAAAUUUUGGUGAAAAAAAUGAAAAUGAUAGCUUAACAAAUGGAUUAGAGUUUUUUUUUUAUCACUAGUGUGCAUAGAAUUACACAAAAAUACUCUUAUUUUAUUUUUUUUAUCUUUUAUUAGAUAAUUUUUUAUAAUUUAACUAUAAUUCUAUUUAAUUUAUCCUUUCUUCUCAAUAAAAAUAUAAUAAAUAAAUAAUUUAUUAUAAUCAAGUUCGUUAAAAAGUUAUUGUCACUGGCAUUGUGUAUAGUAAAAUAAAAAAUUGGUGAAUAAGGAACAAAUUUAUUGUUACUAGUAUUUUCAUUAUAUUUAUUUAUGUUUUUAAUAUUAAAUAUUAUUGUAUCAUUUUUGCUUGAGCUAGGAUAAUUAUUGUGUUUUUUGAAUUAUGUUUUUUUUUUCAAUAAAUUAAAAAUGUUGUUAUAUAGGUAUCUCAAAACUAAUUAUUUCACCAUUACAUUAAGAAAUAGUCAGUCAAUUCUUAUAGUUUAUUAAUAUUCACUAGUGCAAAAAGAAAAAAAAGGAUACACUUUAUUUAGUGCGGCUUUUGCGCUACUCGCUUUCGUAAAAAAUGCGGUGGCAUUUUUGAAAUUAUUUUGAUUUACGAAUGCGGUUAUUUGUAUAACCGCACUUGUAAAUCAAAGCGUUUGAUUUACGAAUGCGGUUAUUUGAAUAACCGCAUUCAUCAAUCAAAAUUCUUUGAUUUACGAAUGCGGUUUUACCUUUAACCGCAUUCGUAAAUUCUUUUUUACCCUAAAUUUUGAAGCGCGCCACACACAAUUUCAAACUUUAUUUCUCCUCUUUGCCUUCGUUUCGCGAGUUCGUCUCCUUCUGUUGCAUCUGCAUUCCAUUUGUGCAAUGUAAGUUUCUUGAACUCUCUUUCUUCCUCUUCAUCUUCACAAAUAUAUGCAUAAUUUCGUUUUUCUUAUAUAUGUUUUUUUCCUUGCAUUGGUGGUCUCGAAGCACUGUUUCGUUGGCUGACAUUCGUUUUUCUUACAUUGUUUGGUUUCUCGCAUUGCUCAGUACUCUUUCAUUGUCUUCGUGGUUUCUUGUGGAUUUUUUGGUUUGCUCCAUUGUUGCUUCCCUGUCCGCCGUCGCUUCUGCUGCCGCCACCGUUGUUGGCGCUCCCGUGACUCUUCAUCAACGUUGGCUUCACACAAGAUUGACGAUGUUUUAAAAUUUUUAAUUUUUUUUAAUGAUUUGGCAUAUACAAGUGCGGUUAAAGCAAAUAAUCGCACUUGUAAAUGGUAUUUAUAAAUGCGGCUAUAUAGCCGCAUUUAUAUUUCUUGAUUUACAAGUGCGUGUUGAUCAAAUGCGGCUAUAAAGCCGCAUUUAUAAAUUAGAAAUAGCCGCAUUUGUUUUAUGUUUCUGCACUAGUGAUUCUAAUAGAUCAUCUAACAAUAAUAAUAGAGUAAACAACAAAACAUGAGCAAUAAGAAUAAUGAGAUAUCAACACAUAAGAAUUUAUCUUGGUUCACCUAAACUCAUACUACAUCAAGUUUCCUUAAACAACUUCUUAAUACUUGGUUACAACGAGUAUUCACACCUCUUCACGUUACAAUGAGUAUUCUCAACUCUUUAGGUUACAAAAAAGAUUUGUUCAUCUCCAAGUUACAACAAGUAUCAUAUUUUUAGCUUACACCUUCUUAAUAUCUCUCUAAGAUUAAAAUUUCCCAAGAAAACAAAUAACACUCUCAAAAGAGAACAAAAACAAAAGUUCAAAUGUGCAUAGUUUCACCUUGUGAAGAAUUACAAUGGUUUAGCACUCAACCCAAUAGAUUAAACACUAUAACAAUUUGACUAAAGCUCAUUGUAACUCUUGUAAUUUUAGCGUGAUCACUUCUAUAGCUUUUAUUCUUUGACUUGCCUUCCUUUUGUUCUUUACCUUCAAUCCUUUGUAUAGCUUUUUAAAUUUGUCCAUUCAUACUUGAAUUGGUUAAUUUUGAAUUUUGUAAUAUCUUCAUAUCUUUAUUUUUUUUGCUACACUCAAAACAAAAAUCUUAGAAUUUGCAAUUUUUACUUUGUUUUUCUUUGAAUUUGUUUAAGAAACUAAUUCAAAAAUAUUUACAAUAUGGUUUAGUAAAAACAAAUCAAAACAUAGAAAAUUAUUUUUGCUAAAAAGAGAGUACUUAAAUUUUCAAUUUUGUUUCCUUUUUAAAAAAAAUUAUUUAGAUUUUAUCAUGUUUCUAAAAAUUUUAAAAACUGACACCAACACAAAAUUUAGUGAGAAAAAUGAAAAGAUAACUUAACAAAUAGAUGAGUUUUGUUUUUUAACACUGUGUGUAUAGAAUUACAUAAACUAUUCUUAUCUUAUUUGUGUAUUUUUAUCAUAGAUAGAUUUUUAAAAUUUAGGAUAACCUAUUAACUAAGUUCCUUAAAAAUUUUAUUGUUACUAGAAUUGUUUAUAGUGAAAUAAAUAAUUCAAAAAAAUCAAAUAAAAAAAUUAAAGAAAAUACAAAUAUUAGAAUUUUUUAUUUAUAUAUAAAUCACAUCAAUUAUUAGUUGUGGUUGUAAAUAAACAUGAACCUUUAUUAUUAAUCAAAAUAUUUCAUUUAAAAAAUAUAAAUUAUCUAAUUAUUAAAAGUACAUUUAAAUGAAAAUAAUUAAUAUUUAAAUAUUUAAAAUUAUGUAUAUAUUAAAUAAUAAUAUUAUUUUUAUAUUUAUUUUUUUAUAAUUAAUACUAUUGUUAUAUAAAUUAUCUUUUAUUAUAAAUAAUUAUAUUUAUUAUAAUUAUUAUUAAAUAUUUUUAUAACAAAUUUAUUUAAUAGUCAAUAUUUUAUUUUUUAAAUAUUAUAGUUUUGAUUUGUUUUAGAUGGAUUGCUUUAAAAAAUUCAAGGAUAAUUUGGUUAAUUAGGAUAUAAUAUGUAUAGAAAUCUUUGGACACAUACAUGGGUAGAUGAAAAAAACCUAUGUAUUUCCAUUUUAAUGUGUGAACACAAAGAGCAAAAUCUCAUUUCUUUCUUUUUUUCUUUGUACGACUGUACUCAUUCCACAUUUGCUUUUUGUUGAAGCAAUAUUGGUUGUGUUUAUGUACAUAUAAGUUUGAUGAUAAGCAACAUUACAACAACAUUUCAAAUUACUCAUAAUGUUUUAUCAUGUUUCUAAAAAAUUUUAAAUUUGACACCAACAAAAUAUUUUAGUGAGAAAAAUGAAAAGGAUAACAAAUGGAUGAGAGGUUUUUUUUAUCACGUGCAUAGAAUUACACAAAAUACUCUUAUUUUAUUUUUGUAUUUUUAUAAAAAAAAAAUGUAUUAUUUAACUAUAAUUCUAUUUAAUUUAUUCUUUCGCAAUAAAAAUAAAAUACAUAAAUUUGUUAAAAAUUAUUGUCACUAACAUUGUUUAUAGUAAAAUAAAAAUUUAAAAAAUGAAAUAAAAAAUAUUCAACUAAAGAAAAUAUAAAUAUUAUAAUGUUAUAUUUAUAUAUAAAUCAUAACAUCUGCUCAUGAAGAAAAGAAAGUUGAUGUGGUGAAAACAUUUUCUUUUUCUCCUGCACUUUGCACUGCUCAUUAAAAGGAAGAAAGAUGUUGUCAUAAAAGCAUUCAUCCUUUUCACAGAUUCAUCCACAGUACACAUAUUAAAUGAGUAAUGAUACUGACUAAAAAAAACAUGUGGGAAAAAAGAAACAUUGGGAAGUGCAGAAAUGUGUGGGUAAAAAUAAACAUAUCCACUUCACCUAUAGAUAAAUUAAUAUUUUAAUUAUACUUAAUUUAUUUUUUAAUUUAAAAUAUUAUUAUAUUAUUAUAAUGAUAUGUACCUUUACUUUUAAUUUUUUGCUUACUCUACAUCAAACCUCUCCACCAACAGUUUUUCAUUAAUAAUCACAAGAGUUACAUGGUAAAUCUUUUGCAGAUACACUUAGUAUUGAGCUAGCAUAAUAACUCAAACCUUCUCUCUAAAGCUCUUUCAUUAUACAUGUUGUUUCAGUGACCCUUUCUUUCUUUGUAUGUUGGUGUCGUGUGAUGCUAGGCCAAAUUCUAUAAUAAUUGAGUAUAACUUUUGUUACGGGUUUGUUAACUUCAUUUUAUAAAUUCUAUUGCCUUUAUUUUUCUCCAUUUACUCUCUUUUUUCUUUCUUGGGAAUGACUUUCUGCAUCCCAUAAUUUAAAACCAAACUUCUGUAUAAUUUGAAAAUUCAUUUUUAUGAUUUUAAAAUUAUAUUCCAUAAUAUAUAAUACAAAAUAUAUUUUGGACUGUAUAUAUCAGAAUAAAUAUUUUAGAUUAUACAUUUUAAAAUAUAACUUUUGUAUUUUAGAUUGUGUUUUGCUAAUUUUGGAAAUAUACAAUUUCAAAUCUAUUUUUUUUAUUAAAUAAUUUGAAAUAUUCUUUUUUUGUUCUUUUUAAUAUUUGAUAUUUUUUAUCAUUAAUUUUGAAUGCAAUUAAUUUAUUUUAAAUAGUCGUUUUUUAUUUUAAACACAAAUAAUUUGUUCAAUACAAAGAUUUUUUUUAAUAGUAAUAAUAUUUAUCUAAAAUACAUAUAAUGAUACAUACUUUUACAAUAUCUUGCUAAAUUUAAAUACAAAAUUGAUGUACAUUGGAAAACUUUUAAAGAAGUGGAAUUAUGUCCUUAUUGCCUAUUCCCUACCGCACGUGAUCCCAUUCCACAGACAAUGUACUAGAUUUUGUCUUUAUGUUGGACUACAUUCUCUCACAUGUCCAUCCACAUUGAAUCACGCCGCAACUUGCAAGGAAGGUGUCAGUAGUUCAUUGAAAUUGCAUUAGACAUCUCAAACCCUCUUAUUCUCUUCUCCAACCUUUCUUUUCCUCUUCAUUUUUUUUUUUAAUGUUUCCUUUGUUUAAUCAGAAAGAUAUUGGAUUGGAACAGCUUCGCCGCCCUUAUCGGAGCCCGUGGAGGAGAGACCGACGACGAGGCCUGCGCCGCCUUCUGCGGUGGUCGUGAUGGGCCUCCCUCAAGACUGCGGCGGUCGUCGACUACAUUACUUACUGGUCAAAGGACUCCGUCGCCGGCCGCCAUAGUCGCCGGGUAUUUUCUUGCAGGUGGGAUCUAUGGGAUGCUCCAACUGUUGGUUGCUUUUCCGGUAAGAGAGUGAGCGUAUGAAGAAGAGUUCAUAGCAAACAUUUGUUUAUACCUUUACCAUUUUAUAAAAUGCAUUUUCAUUUGUUGUUUGAAAUUUGUUUUUUUUUGUAUUCACGCAUUCUCAAAUAAAUUCUCAAAUAAAGAUAUGAUGGUUCUGAUUUUGAAUACAUAAUUUAAGUUAAAAUAAUCGAUGUGAAAUAAGAGUUACUUGAUUCGUAAUUGCCGAGAAUCUAAACCAAUGAGUGUUUUUAGAUCUAUUUAUUUUUAAAAUAAUUGUUCAUUUUUGCAAAUAUUUUCAUUUAAUUUUUGUAGUUGGUCAUGCUUCUUCUACUCUACUGUUAUAAAUCGGAAGAAGAGUUCAUAGCAAAUGAUUUGCAGACUGCAUUGCUGCCAGUGUAUCUGAAGUUAUGUUAUCAUGGGUACGAAUUGGAUCGUGCACAUAUAUUUUGCAUGAGCAUGUUUGAUGACUUUGACAGGUUUAUGAAACAAAGCCAUAUGCUCCAGGGGUAAUGUUUAUAUAUACUUUUCUUCUUUUUGCAUCUUAGGAUAUGUGAUAUUAAGCCUAGAUUUUAAUAUAUCGUUGCAUAAAUUACUUUUUGUGACAGUCAUGGUCCUGACUUUUCCUUAGUUUUGUUUCAAUUAACAAUUGUGCCCUUUAGAUACAAUGUGCAUGAUGUAUACCAGAUACUUGGGUCAUUGAUCAAUAUUAGGAUUGUUGAGGCUUUUCACUAUGUAUAUGUUUGCACUGGCUCGCUUUUAAUUUGGUUCUGUGCAUAUUUUAUUAUUACGUGGAUUUUGUGAAUACAGUUGCUUUACUUGUUGUGUAGUUUAAAGUUUGUACAGUAUCUAUUUGUAUUUAGCUAUGAUCUUGUAGCUGUCACACUGGAACUUUGUAGCUUAUUGAUAUUUCUUAUGCUCUUUGGUUUUGGCAUCUCUUUCAGGAAAAUCUUCAACACUGGCUCUCUGAUGCAAAGGCCAGGGACCAGUUUGUGAUUCGUGCUGGUUCAAAUACUGAGGUUUUGUGGAAUGAUGCAAGGCAUUUGAAGCCUGAUCCUGUUUAUAAGCGGGCUGUGAAUAGGCAUUUUAUUUAAGUAUCUUGUACUCUAUGAUAUUUAUCAUUGCCUACCUUUACAUGAUUGUGGAUUGAUGUAGUUUUGGACAGAAAGUUUUGUCCAAUGGUCUCCUAUGGAGACAUACUUGGCCACUGUUCACAGAUAGGGGCUUCUGUCUGGGGAGAUUCUUCAAGCUUUAACAGCACAUCCUCAGGUUUUCUUUGAGAUUUAUUCAUUAUCAUUUAUCAACCGUUUUAUAUUUAUGUUCUUUUACAUAUUUAUAGGCGAGUCUGAUCCAAGUCCCCAGCAAAGAAGAACUCAGGCAGAAGAACCUUUUCUGCAGAGUUAUUAUAUACUUUUUGUUAAUAAUUUGUGUACUUUUUAUAUGCUUAUUGGCUACUAAUUUCAUAGAUAUUAACUUUACACUUCCCAUGCUGCAAUGCAGGUGAUUGGUUCAGGAACUGAAAGGAAAGGAUUCAUGGCAUUGAUAUUCAUUUGAAGGAUGGUGAUAAGUGGAUGUUUGCUGACCAUGAGGUGCGUGUAAUAGACACACCUGGUCACACCCGAGGUCACAUUCAUUCCUUAUUUCCAUUCUUAAUUCUUCUUAAUGGUGAAAAGUGUGAAAAAAAUUAUCAUUUUUCUCUUGUGUAACUCAUUUUUUCUAACUUUUUUACUUGAUUUAUACUGUAGGCCAUAUAAGCUUCAAAUUUUAAAAAUAUUUUUUGGGUUAAGAUCUUCAGUUGUUGACAAUUUGAUCCAUGUUGCAGAUGAUGUCUUCUCUUAAAAAGAUCAUGUCCCUACCAGAUUCAAAUAUAUACUGUGGACACGAGUAUACUUUGGCGAGUUACACUUACUCCAAUGGACACGAGUAUACCUUUAUAUUCUUUGCUUCUUUUUCUUAGCCUAAGUGCUGUGAAAUUGACUUUGUUAAUUUGGUGUUGGCACAGCAAUACAAAGUUUGCAUUGUCUAUAGAAACUGAAAACAAAGAACUUCAAUCUUAUGUUGCUCAUGGAGCUUACCUUCGAAGUAAAGGCUUUCCCACAGUAAGGUUGUAUUAACUUUAGUUUUAAAAUAUUGUUGUUGUUACUUGGAUUUGGUUUUGGAUUUUAAAACUGAAUUGGAAAUAUAUUCCCUGCAUUCUAUAUUCUAAAUGUUGAUUAUAGAAAGAUUUAAGAUUAGUAUUAUAAUUUACAUUUUGAUCUUAAUUGAAAAAAUUAAAUUUAUUCUGGAAUUUGGAUUUUGAUAAUAGAAAAAUUAAUGUAUUUGGAUAUUUGAACUAAAUUGAACAUAACUAUUGUAUUUUUUAUUUUGGUUUUUAAAUUGAUAAUAAGGUUUUCCAAAAUAAAAUUAACCAUCUUAUCGACGGUCAAAGUUCACUCAAAAUAAUUCAAUUUUUUUUAAAAAAAAAGUCUCUAACGAUAUCUCAAUUAUCAAAUUAUUUUUAAAAGUUGAUCUAGAAAAUAGUUACAUACAGAGUAUAUAUUCAUGGAAAUUUUUUUUUGGUAUGAAAUUAUGUUUUACAUACUGUUUUUUAUGGAUUAUGAAUUGAAUAUUAUUCAUUUAUAUUGAAAAUAAAUUAAAAUUAUUAAAAUUAUAUAUAUUAUUUAUCUUUAACAACAUAAUAUAACUUGCAACUAUUUUGAACUAGUUGUACAUGUGAAUGAGUGUGACAACUUAUUAUAUGUAUCCAUCGUAUUGUUGAUUAAAUCGUGUCAAAAGUAAUAAAAAUAUUUUCUAAUGAUGAAUAUUGAACUCACAAUGAACAAUUUUAAAAUCUCAAAUAUAAUAUUAAUUAAAUAUAAUGUGCCAAAGUUUGUUGGAAAGGUUGUUUGUAUUGUGAAUUUGCAAGAAAUCAAUAAAGCAUACAAGAUUUGUAAAAGUCAAUUGGGAAAAUUGGGAUUGAGAUCCUUCUCACUCUUUUGUAUUUUUUUAAAAGAAUAUAAUAUCCAAUUUUAAUUGAUAUUGAUGCACAUAUAAAAAUCAUUCAUAUUGAUUCGUCGCAUACAAAAAUUUUCUGAGAGUCUCUUAAAUAUCGAUUUCUCGCAUUUAUAAAAUUUCCUUAUUAUUACAAAUAUAUGUUAUAAAAUAAUUAACAUUUCAAAUUUAUUUCUAGCAUUCGAAUAUGUUAAUCAUUAUCAUUUAUGUUAAAUGCUUUGAAGUACUUUUCAUUUAAAUCUAAGGAUCAAAAUCAUGAAUAAUUAAAGUUUUGAAAAUAAUAUGAUAAUAUUAAUUAUCAAUUAAGAACUUAAUAUUAUAGAUAAAUAUCAUCUCAAUACAUAAGAAUUUGAAAAGAUUACUCCCAGUCCAAAGGGAAGAAUUCAUGUUGGUCAUUAUAAGCAUGAAAAACAAAGAAAAUAAGAUCUAGGAUGUUUCUCCUUGACGACGAUCUCCUUUAGGAUUUUCUAUGUCUCUAUAUUCUCUAUGUCUCAUGCCUUCUAUUUAACCUAGUUGAGCUUGGGUUAUGACAUCUUGUUUAAGCGAGUUGUUACUUGCUUAAGCAAGUAAGCAAGUUUGAUGAGAAAAAAAACCUAAUUUCACUAUAGGCAAGUCUUUGGCGAGUUUCUCUGGAGUCAUCUUGCUUUGGCGAGUUUUGGGCGAGUUUCCAAUAUUCCAACUUUUCAUUUUCAUAUUGUCAAUUCUCCUUUAGCCCUUUCAUCUCCAUUUUCUCUUAGAAUCCUGAAAUUAACACAAAUUUGAGAAUAAAUCGUUGUAAUUCAUUUUAUAAUCACAAAAUAUGUAAAAGUGUUUAAAUUCCUAAAUUAGGGGUUGAGUUAUAGUUAUUUUAUCAAUAAAAAUCUAUGAGUUUAUAUAUUUUAAUAUGGAAUAUUACUAAAUUAUGACACUUAUCACACACAUCCUCACAUUGUCAAAUAACGAUAAGUAUGACACGCUAACUGAUGUUAUACUUUUAUUAGCAACAAUGUAUCAACAAGUUCUCCCAAUAAAUCCUACUUACUCAUCUUGUCAUAUAGCAGUUGGUGGCAACACAUAAGCAUCAAUGUCAACGACAACUUAUUAUCUGUCCCUUCUAAUGUCCAACCUCAUUAGUCUUUGACCAACUUAUUAUGAUCCAUAUUUAGUCCUUACCUAUAUUUUUGCCAAUAAUAAUAACAAACAAUGAUUACUUUUUAAAAUUAAUACAUAUAUUUUUGUGUUUUGGAUUCGAAAAUAUAUUUCAAAAUGCAUUAUCCAUAAUGAAUUUAUAUAUUUCACACAGUGGAUUUUGAAAUGUGUUUUCAAAUUUAAAUACAUACAUGAAUACAAAAUUCAAAAUAUGUACUUAUAUUCUUAAUUAUGUAUUUCCAAAUUAAAAAAAACAGAGAUAACACAACACUAAAAACAUAAAAAAAAAAAAACUACAUAAACCUUUAGUUAUUCAACCGGCAUGACCGUGCAACAUAAUCUAUCAAUGAAAUUGACAUGAAAGGGAUGCACCACAUGGGAUAUAUAACACAUGGGGUACGACUGAGAUCGAGAAAAGAAAAGGUUGAUUUAUUAAUAUAAAUAUAUGGGAUGAAUAUUUUGGCCUUUUCAAAUAUACUAUAAGGAUGCAGUUUAAAUUUAUGUUCUUUUCAAAAAUAUACUAUAAAAUGCAGUUUAAAUUUAUGUUCUUUUAUCUUUUGUUUUAAAAUCCAAAAGUGAACGUUAAUGUGGAAUAAAAUAAUUAAAAUUGUAUUGAUAGAAAAUAAGGCAUAUUAGAUUUAACAAAUUUAUUUUAGAAGGAACCAAAACUAUUAAUUCUAAUUUAGGCCGAUUAAAAAUUUGUAUUUAAGUUAAAUAAGCUUUUGUUUUUGUUCUUGCAAAAAUUAGGUAAAGUCAAACUCCAUCAUAUGUACGUGAUACCUCACGCUCUAUGGUCCAUUCGUUUUUCUCUUCUUAAUCUUCUUUGUCAAUAUCUGUUUGGAUUUAUGCCUAAUCUUCUUAUCUCCGUCGGCUAGAAAACUUGCAAACAUACUCCGAUGUCCAAGUCAACUUCCUCGUAUAUUUAAAUGACUUAUUGUGGUUAACCUUUCUUUUGAAUUUUUUCAACUUCCCCAACUGCAUGAACUUUGUUACUCUUCUCCUCAAUUCUUCUAAGUUGUCAGCCGACUUUUUACAAAGGAUGUGAACGAAAGGGCCAAGUUUUAGAGUUGCUAACAUGUAAUGCAUCAUGACUUCCAGACUCAAGUUUCUUAUAUUGAUUUGCCAAAUUUUUUCCUGAAUGUUCGUAGUGACUCUCACUUUUUCGCCUGUUUACCAAGACUUUCGAAGUGAGGUGAUGCGGUCGACUGAUGAAAAAUUGCGAACUAAACAAACUAGUCAACAUGUUGAAGCAGUCUAUUGAUUAGUGGGGAAGCCUUGUGAACCAACUCAGUGUCAUGUUUUAAGUGAGGUAGGGAACACUCAACAUAGUAUGGUGUCAUUGGAGGCAUACUAACUGACCUGUGUUACAUACAUGACUAGAUGCUCGUCUAGGUCAGUAUACCCUUCAUACUUGCCAAAGAGACCUCCAUUAUAUCGGACGUAAUAUUGAGGAAGAUCCUAACAACAUUCUAAAGAUAUUCUAACGCUUAAAUUAACUUUUUCUUAUAUAUUUGAGUUAUUAUGAUUUUAUCUACCUUCUAAACAUUCCUUAAAUAUUCUAUUUACAUUUAUUUAGGAUAGACUUAAUUUUAGAUAUUUUCUUCAAGCCUAACCGAUUAAACCUUUUAAAGUAUAUUUGUAAAUGAAUAUAUUUGUUAAACACAUUCUACGACAUUUUUUUUCUUCUUUUUUUGAGACCGACAAGCCGAUAUAAAUUAAUCCUACAAAUAGAUGAGGACAAAAUAAUUAUGAUGAGGAGAGAAACCGAGCGGUAUAAUUUAUAAAAUAAAAAUAUAUUAAAAAAUAUAUAAACAUAUUGCUUCGCAUUAUAUUAACUCGAUAAAUAAAUUUAUCAAAUUUUAGUUUUCAACUAAUUACUUAAUUUUUGUUUAGCUAAAUAUUUCCCUAUUCUAUGCUUUGGUGAUUGGUUAUGCACCGAUAAAAGAUGAAUUCCUCGUUGGAUCCAAUUUGUUGAACGAUUAUGAAGCUUUGAACAUCUGCCACUGCAAGAUGUUGACGAUGAUCAUUGUUGCGCUCAUCACGGCCAUUCUUUUUGGAUUCUGCAUUGCUCCAGUCAACGGCAGACGCCGGAGGAACAGAGCCGUCGGGUUCUUCCAUCCGUACACUAACGACGGCGGCGGCGGGGAGAGGGUGCUCUGGUGCGCCGUCAGAGGCAUCCAAGAGGAAAUCCCUGAUCUUGACUGCUAUAUCUACACUGGAGAUCAUGACGCCACCCCUCAAUCGCUGAUGGCUCGAGCCCUCGAUCGCUUUGGGGUCACGCUCCUCUCUCCUCCAAAGGUACCUUCUUUUCUUAAUCUCUUAUCUGGGUUCUUAUUUUUUUCUGUUUUUGGAUUGUGGGGUUUUGUUCAUCUUUCGUUUUCAUUGUGACUUCGUAUAAUUUGAAGUGGGUUUUUCAGUUGUAGUAACGAUAAGAGAGUGGAAUAUUAUAGAAUGCUUUUCUGGGUUCGUAAGUGUAUACUUUGUGUAUGUUAGCAUAUUACUCAACCGUGGUUGUUAUUUUAUCUUUCAACUAUUCCUCUUGUUGGUUCGGUUAUUACUGCACUCAUAACUCAUGAAUUUAAUGUACUUUAUUUUCUGCUAAAGAAUGAGUGGAUUAGGAUCAAUGGAUCUAAUUUUCCUUCUAUAAGCUCAGGUGAAGCAUUGAGUUUACUUCAAAGUCUUCACAACAUUGAUGAUGUAUUCCAUUCUGUUGGGUGGAUCAAGCAACAGGACUUUCCCUAGUAUCAGGACUGCUGCAAAGAAUUCUAAAGUAGUUUGGGAUUUAGGUGGAAGGAAAAUUAUGGGAAUAGAUCUGGUAAGCGUGUGGAAAAAGGGUCUUUCUGGGGUAGUCCACCGUGGAUUAGAAAUAUGAAGUGAUCAGAGCUGUACUCUUGAAAGAAUGACUCAAAGCGGUGUUCUGUUUUAGUACAGUAGUGGACCAGAAGAUACUUUAUGAAUGAACUGAACUAUGUUCAAAUUACAUAGACGCUCUGUUCGUAGACCCAGGUGAUUCUAGAAUUGUCUGGAACCUCACGUUGCUCAAUCAAGCAUUUAUUGUUUUGCUAAAGUACCUACCAAUGAUGUAGAUUCUAAGGCUCAACUAUUUAAGCUCUCAAUUUACAAAUAAGGGCCUGAUUAUCCGGAAAAAAAAAAGAGGCCAUUCCUGAUAGCUUUGCUUCUUGUUGGACUAUUCUGAUGAUACAAAAUACGGAAUUCUGAAGGGAAGAAAGCCAAUACUCUUCAUAUACAACCGUAAGUUGCAAACUGAUCUUGGACCUUUGGCUCCUCUUGAACUGUAUUCCUCACUUUUAGGUGGAAGUGAGCCAGAGAAAGGUGGUAAAACAUAGCAUUGCUUGCUUAGCAGGUUUAGUAGACGAUAGGAAGGAGGGGAUGAGGGAUGAUUUAGCCAUGGAAUAAGAUAAUGUGAUGAUUAUAUAAUGUAAAGAAAUAUUGUUGUGAUGGUAUUUUUUUUUUUUUGGCGCCAAUUGUGCAAGAAUAUACUUGAUUUGUUUAGAAGCUUAAACCUGUGUAUCUUGUUAUCCUGGUUUUCAGGUGGUUCAUUUGUACAAGAGAAAGUGGAUCGAAGAAACCACUUAUCCGCACUUUACAAUGAUUGGUCAAAGUCUGGGUUCUAUGUAUCUUGCUUGGGAGGCUUUGUGCAAGCUUACUCCUUUAUAUUACUUUGACACAAGUGGAUAUGCUUUUACAUAUCCAUUAGCCCGGUUGUUUGGAUGUAAAGUUAUUUGCUAUACACAUUAUCCUACUAUCAGUUCAGACAUGCUAUCUCGUGUUCGUGAGCGCAGUUUGAUGUAUAAUAAUGAUGCCUUAAUUACAAAAAGGUUUGAUUUCUUCAAACUAUCGGAUUUGUACAUUUUGUUGCCACUUAUAGUCUAGUCAUACUUCACAAGAUUUCCUCACCUGUUAAAUGGUAUCAGUUCUGUCAUUUCAAUAUGACUUAAAUUUGAUUAUUAUUCCGCAUCCAAUUUGUUUUGCGCCCAAGGGUAGAAGGGAAUCAAUCUUUUUAAAAGUAUUUUGGUAUAGAAAUUGGUAAAGUUGAAGCUUUUUCAUGUGAAAGUUCACCUUUGCAUGCUUCCCCAUACUCUUCAGUGCAUACACGCUUCAAUGCUAUAAUUUGCACUAAAUUCACAAUCUAUUUUGUCUCUUUCAUGUUUUAAGGAAUCUAAGAGUUUUUUUUCUUUUUCUUGCAGUGUUUGGCUUUCAAGAUGCAAGAUUGUCUAUUAUACAUUCUUCAGCUGCCUGUAUGGGAUUGCAGGAUCAUGUGCACACCUGGCUAUGGUCAAUUCAUCUUGGACCAAAUCCCAUAUUGAAAAUCUUUGGAAAGUUCCAGAUCGUAUUAAGCGAGUUUAUCCUCCUUGUGAUACUUCUGGACUCCAGGUUUGCAAUUUGUUAUUUAUAGUCCUAGAAACAUUAUUGUAUUAUCUAGUUCAUGUUUUUCAUAUUUCUUUGGGUUGGGUGGAUAGCUUUCCUAUAUUGCUUGUUACUUUGUGGCAGUGAAGUCUGUUAUGGUCUGUUUCUUCUAUGUGUCCUCCUGGUGUAGUAUCUGUAUCUUUACCAAAUGUUUAAAACUUGAGUUUAAUGUCAACUCUCAAUAUGAGGAUGAUACUAUGUGUGUUUGUGGUUUUCUUUACAUAGUUCAGUAAUCACCAAGAAAAUCUAACAGGUGAGCAAUAUAAACAGGUACUUCCCUUGGAACGAUCAACAGAAAUUCCUGUAAUAAUAUCUGUUGCACAAUUUCGACCGGAGAAGGUGGGCAUAUUCCUAUGAAUCUUGUGAACAAAAGGUACAACCUUUUUAUGUGGCUCGUUUGAGCCUUUGUUAGUUAAACCAAUUUGACAUUUUUUUUUUUCAUUUAAAUGUAGGCACACACUCUCCAACUAGAGGCUUUUUCAGCUGCCAUUAAGAAAUUAGAUCCUACCUUGCCAAAACCUAAGUUACAAAUUGUGGGUAGCUGUAGAA
rnacentral:lncRNA from 1 species